GGGGGGGUAAUAAAGUGAAAUGAAAUGUAAAGGAAGAUUUUAAAAUCUGAUUUCCGUUGAGAAAUCCCAGAAUAAAUAAGAUUCCAUGACGUCACAGAUGGAGAUGUUGAUCCCAUUUUCCGUUACGAGGGUUUCUCCGUUCAUUGUGCGGAGAAGACGAUGACGUUCGGACGUUUACUCAUCAACUCAUUAUUAUUAAUGUGUUUAAUGUUUUACCUGCAAUGGCUUUCUCAACCGAAACGAGGAUUUUGUGAUCCUCUUUGGGAGAGUUUUUUCAAGCUUUUUCCAAACUCCGUCCGUCCUUCCCAGUACCGUGAUGAAUCCUGGUUCUCAAACCUGUCCGAAGUGAUGAAGACCAUGAUCCAAACAUUCCAAAAUCGACAAGUUCUCAGCAUGAACACCAUUUGUACCUGCAUCAUUUUCAGUGCAGUGUGUAUGAUAUGCACUAAUGUGUUGCAGAUGUUAUUUGCCGUACAGCUUCAGCAUGACAGACGUGCGAGGCAUCAUUGCAGAAAAAUCGCAAAACCAUCAGAAAAUAUUCGGUGAAGAAAAGUCGAUCGGUGCAGCCUCUGCUCACUGUGGGGCACGUGAUCCAAGACAAUGGAGCUUCCAAUCGAGCUGGUUGCUUGGCAACGCUAACACGCACCUCCUCUGUCUAUUUUUAUCUUUUGUCGCACUUGCAUAAAAAAAAAAUUUCCUGUAGCUGUAAGCCUUUUAAUGGAGAGCUUAUUCAAAUCACUGAUGGAUCCCUGCCCUUCGACAAGGUCAGAGACUGGGACAUUAAAAUGAGCUCCGUCCAACCGUCUGUCAAUCGUUUGUCCAUUUACUUUUGUGUACAUGAUAUUCAACAAAAAUAGUUGAACAUUUACCUUUCAUGUUGCAGAUAUCUACUCCUCAUAACAUCAUCUCAAUACGAUUAAAUAAUGGCUCUAAUCUGUCACCAUGGCAACAAUCUUGGUAACUUGGCUUGUGCAUGUGAUAUUUCAAAAACCAUUCAAGAUGUAGCUUUAGAGGAGGGGAGGGGUGGGGGAAAGAUAGAGGAGAGAGGAGAGAGAGGGAGGGAGGAGGGGUGAGUAGUGGGCGGAGCUCGGGGGGGGGGG
rnacentral:lncRNA from 1 species